AUACGUAGGGGGCGAGCGUUGUCCGGAAUUAUUGGGCGUAAAGGGCGUGUAGGCGGCCUGUCAAGUCAGGGGGUGAAAACCCGGGGCUCAACUCCGGGGUUGCCCUUGAAACUGGGAGGCUUGAGUGCUCUAGAGGGCAGUGGAAUUCCCGGUGUAGCAGUGAAAUGCGUAGAGAUCGGGAGGAACACCAGUGGCGAAGGCGGCUGCCUGGGGAGUAACUGACGCUGAGGCGCGAAAGCUAGGGGAGCAAACAGGAUUAGAUACCCUGGUAGUCCUAGCCGUAAACGAUGAGUGCUAUGUGUGAGGGGUAUCGACCCCCCUCGUGCAGCAGUUAACGCAAUAAGCACUCCGCCUGGGGAGUACGGCCGCAAGGUUGAA
rnacentral:rRNA from 1 species